GUGUCAGCCGCCGCGGUAAUACGGAGGGUGCGAGCGUUAAUCGGAAUUACUGGGCGUAAAGCGCACGCAGGCGGUUUGUUAAGCUAGAUGUGAAAGCCCCGGGCUCAACCUGGGAUGGUCAUUUAGAACUGGCAGACUAGAGUCUUGGAGAGGGGAGUGGAAUUCCAGGUGUAGCGGUGAAAUGCGUAGAUAUCUGGAGGAACAUCAGUGGCGAAGGCGACUCCCUGGCCAAAGACUGACGCUCAUGUGCGAAAGUGUGGGUAGCGAACAGGAUUAGAUACCCUGGUAGUCCACACCGUAAACGCUGUCUACUAGCUGUGUGUGCCUUUAAGGCUGUGCGUAGCGAAGCUAACGCGAUAAGUAGACCGCCUGGGGAGUACGGCCGCAAGGUUAAAACUUAAAUGAAUUGACGGGG
rnacentral:rRNA from 1 species